GUGCCAGCAGCCGCGGUAAUACGGAGGGAGCUAGCGUUGUUCGGAAUUACUGGGCGUAAAGCGCGCGUAGGCGGCUAUUCAAGUCAGAGGUGAAAGCCCGGGGCUCAACCCCGGAAUUGCCUUUGAAACUAGAUAGCUAGAAUCUGGGAGAGGUGAGUGGAAUUCCGAGUGUAGAGGUGAAAUUCGUAGAUAUUCGGAAGAACACCAGUGGCGAAGGCGGCUCACUGGACCAGAAUUGACGCUGAGGUGCGAAAGCGUGGGGAGCAAACAGGAUUAGAUACCCUAGUAGUCC
rnacentral:rRNA from 1 species